GUACGGGAGGCAGCAGUGGGGAAUAUUGGACAAUGGGCGCAAGCCUGAUCCAGCAAUGCCGCGUGUGUGAAGAAGGCCUUCGGGUUGUAAAGCACUUUUAUCAGGAACGAAAUACCACGGGUUAAUAACCUAUGGGGCUGACGGUACCUGAGGAAUAAGCACCGGCUAACUUCGUGCCAGCAGCCGCGGUAAUACGAAGGGUGCAAGCGUUAAUCGGAAUUACUGGGCGUAAAGGGUGCGUAGGCGGUUCGUUAAGUCUGUCGUGAAAUCCCCGGGCUCAACCUGGGAAUGGCGAUGGAUACUGGCGAGCUAGAGUGUGUCAGAGGAUGGUGGAAUUCCCGGUGUAGCGGUGAAAUGCGUAGAGAUCGGGAGGAACAUCAGUGGCGAAGGCGGCCAUCUGGGACAACACUGACGCUGAAGCACGAAAGCGUGGGGAGCAAACAGGAUUAGAUACCCUUGUAGUC
rnacentral:rRNA from 1 species